rnacentral:rRNA from 1 species
UACGGAGGGUGCAAGCGUUAUCCGGAUUCACUGGGUUUAAAGGGUGCGUAGGUGGGCAAGUAAGUCAGUGGUGAAAUCUCCGGGCUUAACUUGGAACUGCCGUUGAUACUAUCUGCCUUGAAUAUUGUGGAGGUGAGCGGAAUAUGUCAUGUAGCGGUGAAAAUGCUUAGAUAUGACAUAGAACACCAAUUGCGAAGGCAGCUCGCUACACAUAUAUUGACUCUGAGGCACGAAAGCGUGGGGGAUCAAA